rnacentral:lncRNA from 1 species
CAGCUUAUUCGACUCAUAGUUAACUCAUGAUCACUUCUUCACCCACUUCGUACUUUAAAACUUUUCGAUCGAUCCUUAUCGCCUGCGACUCGACCACCACAAAGAUACUCGACCACUCUUUUCUUUUUUUUUUUUUGAACGGGUUUCUACAUUCUCCCCCCCUUAAUAGAAUUCGUCCUCGAAUUCUUGGUUGCGCAAUUGCUCGUCUUCAAACAUUCUCCACUCAUCUCCAUAACCUCUUUACGCUGUGCACCACAGUUCCUUGAGUGUCUUCUUCAAGGCCUCCACAAUCGUCUUCAUAUCUCAUCACUGGAAUGAUCACUGAGCCAUCCUCUUUCUUUUACUCUGCCCUAACACCCUCAUUGCCCAUGAUACUAUCUCGUCCAGAUUCCUCAAACCCUUUCUUGAUCUUCGUCUUCCCAAAUACUGAUGAAGUCCUUCCCCAAUGAAGUCUUGUUUCCUCCCAUCUGUCCAGUCCAUACCACUAUCCAGU